rnacentral:rRNA from 1 species
UGAAUUGACGGGGACCCGCACAAGCAGCGGAGCGUGUGGUUUAAUUCGUUGCUACACGAAGAACCUUACCUGGGUUUGACAUAUAGGUUGUAGGGAACUGAAAAGGGACCGACCCUUCGGGGAGCCUAUACAGGUGUUGCAUGGCUGUCGUCAGCUCGUGUCGUGAGAUGUUCGGUUAAGUCCGCUAACGAGCGCAACCCUCGUCGUAUGUUAUAUGUGUCAUACGAGACUGCCGGUAAAAGCCGGAGGAAGGUGAGGAUGAUGUCAAGUCAGCAUGACCUUUAUAUCCAGGGCUACACACACGCUACAAUGGUCUGUACAAUGGGUAGCCAAGCCGCGAGGCGGAGCCAAUCCUGAAAGCAGGCCUCAGUUCAGAUUGCAGUCUGCAACUCGACUGCAUGAAGCCGGAGUUGCUAGUAACCGCAGGUCAGCAAUACUGCGGUGAAUACGUUCCCGGGUCUU